rnacentral:SRP_RNA from 2 species
GCCAGGCGUGGUGGCGCACGCCUGUAACCCCAGCUACUCGGGAGGCUGAGGCAGGAGAAUCACUUGAACCCAGGAGGCAGAGGUUACAGUGAGCCGAGCCAGGACUGCGCCACUGCACUCUAGCCUGGGUGACAGAGUGAGACCCUGUGUCAA